GCCUGGGUGGCUCAGUCGGUUAAGCGUCCGACUUUGGCUCAGGUCAUGAUCUCACAGCUUGUGGGUUUGAGCCCCGCAUCAGGCU
rnacentral:tRNA from 1 species